CCUACGGGCGGCUGCAGUGGGGAAUAUUGCACAAUGGGCGCAAGCCUGAUGCAGCCAUGCCGCGUGUGUGAAGAAGGCCUUCGGGUUGUAAAGCACUUUCAGCGGGGAGGAAGGCGUUAAGGUUAAUAACCUUGUCGAUUGACGUUACCCGCAGAAGGAGCACCGGCUAACUCCGUGCCAGCAGCCGCGGUAAUACGGAGGGUGCAAGCGUUAAUCGGAAUUACUGGGCGUAAAGCGCACGCAGGCGGUCUGUCAAGUCGGAUGUGAAAUCCCCGGGCUCAACCUGGGAACUGCAUUCGAAACUGGCAGGCUAGAGUCUUGUAGAGGGGGGUAGAAUUCCAGGUGUAGCGGUGAAAUGCGUAGAGAUCUGGAGGAAUACCGGUGGCGAAGGCGGCCCCCUGGACAAAGACUGACGCUCAGGUGCGAAAGCGUGGGGAGCAAACAGGAUUAGAUACCCGAGUAGUC
rnacentral:rRNA from 1 species